rnacentral:rRNA from 1 species
UACUCCUACGGGAGGCAGCAGUGAGGAAUAUUGGUCAAUGGGCGGGAGCCUGAACCAGCCAAGUCGCGUGAAGGAAGAAGGAUCUAUGGUUCGUAAACUUCUAUUGCAGGGGAAUAAAGUGCGGGACGUGUCCUGUUUUGUAUGUACCCUGAGAAUAAGGAUCGGCUAACUCCGUGCCAGCAGCCGCGGUAAUA